GAUGAACGCUGGCGGCGUGCCUAAUACAUGCAAGUCGAGCGAACAGACGAGGCGCUUGCUCCUCUGACGUUAGCGGCGGACGGGUGAGUAACACGUGGAUAACCUACCUAUAAGACUGGGAUAACUUCGGGAAACCGGCGCUAAUCCCGGAUAAUAUAUUGAACCGCAAGGUUCAAUAGUGAAAGACGGUUUUGCUGUCACUUAUAGAUGGAUCCGCGCCGCAUUAGCUAGUUGGUAAGGUAACGGCUUACCAAGGCAACGAUGCGUAGCCGACCUGAGAGGGUGAUCGGCCACACUGGAACUGAGACACGGUCCAGACUCCUACGGGAGGCAGCAGUAGGGAAUCUUCCGCAAUGGGCGAAAGCCUGACGGAGCAACGCCGCGUGAGUGAUGAAGGUCUUCGGAUCGUAAAACUCUGUUAUUAGGGAAGAACAAAUGUGUAAGUAACUAUGCACGUCUUGACGGUACCUAAUCAGAAAGCCACGGCUAACUACGUG
rnacentral:rRNA from 1 species